CGUAUGUGCUCUUUGGGAAUGACGAGAUAAUGAUGCGUUGAAGCCGGUGCUAUGUCGGAGAUGACAACAAAUUGCGAGUCGUGGUAUUUCUCCACGGGCACCCCAAGGCACAAGGCUGAGGAGUCUAUAGAGCACGCGCAUAAGGAUUCCACUUAUUGACGAUGGUACUGUCGAUUCAUCAGCGUUCGCUUGAUCAAUCAAUUGACCUUCUGUUCCAGAUGCCGAACAACUAUUAGUGCUACCUUGCAGGAUAAAUAAAAGAAAAAGACGGUUGCCAGAAGAAGACAAUGCGUUCCGGACAAGACAUUUUGUGACACGUAAUGAUAGAACUAGGAGAUUAUUAAAGAAGACUUAAAACAUGGGUUGAAACGAUCAGGGACAAAGUCAUUCCGAACCAUCUAAAUCUUGGCUGUAAAGCUUUAUUCAAAUAUAUAAACUAGCACUCCUGAGAGACGUCGAUACAACGAACACUUAAAGCCCAAUCGUACAAAUGAAUGAGCCGCUCGUUACUAUUCCUCAUAGCUUACGCGCAUGCGACGCUGAAAGCGACGUUGAGUACCCACAUAGAUGCUAUCACAAGCAAACGUAAUAGGCAAACAGGUUCGAACUAAUGCAGAAACAAAAAAUGAUAGUCAAGGGUAUAUAUUCACGUAAAUAAACGCUGCAUACUGUACGGCGCAUUUCUUGCUGCACAUCAGUCGUUCAGAAGACCAUGUCAGCGUAUAAUACGUGCAAGCUGGUUGUUCGAAACCUAGUUUUCAUUGUAGUGUUAAAAAGGUUUCACGUUCUUUUGCCUUUUGCACGUUCGCAUAAUGAUCGCCAUAGGGAAGCAUGCGGCGCCUUUCUUCUGGUUGUUCGCACGCAACGGAACCGCUACUAUGCCACCGUAGUAGCAUUAAAACAAGAUUUACAGUAUUGAUAUACCUCGCAUCUUCGCGAAAAUGUUCCAACGUCAAUAAUCUUCAUAGACGUAUCUAUUUAAUGUAACUACGAUCGUUUUUGAUUGCAUUUUCAGUUUGUGGCCAUUUUGAAAAUUACGUCAAUGACGUUAUUUUCGAAAAUGUAUACCCUUAAUUUGUUUAUGUGACCGAUGUUUUCACUCAAAAAAAAUAGCCUAAAGAUUUGGAAUAACAGGAAUUCAAAAGGUUAAAAAAUGAAAAAUGGCCGAAUUAAUCCAAAAAAGAGACGAACUGUUGGAGCUAACGUAAAUGAUUAAGUUGGCGAUAGGCACAUUUUUCUCAAAAGCAGCAGCCUAUUUUCGUAUCCAAAAUCAGCAAUGAUCGUAAACGGCCCUUCAAGCCAUUCCGGUAAAUUUGCUAGUUCUUUCAAUCUAAUUAAUACUGUAACUACCGUAAGUAAGUAAGUAUGACUUCUUUUGAUUUUCAAAAACGAAAAAAAAUCCUCAAUGUAAUCCAUCUUUUUUUUGUUUGCUACUUCACAACAGAUUAGUCAUUCAUACAUGUGGGGAUGAUUUACUUAGGUUUAUUAAAAGCUUUGUAAGUUCGUUUUUGCAGACAAACUUUGCCGCGGCCCCGUUGAGAAGCAGAGAUUUCGAAAAAUUAAAAUGGUUAACUUCGUUUUUUAAAGCGAAAGGCUCGUACUUAUAGCUUUAUUGGAAACGACCGGUUCUAAUUAAAAAACAUUUUUAUGACACCAAUACAAUACGGAUAGGUAACUAAAAAUAUGACACUAACAAAUAUACAACAGAUCUUAUGUUAAUUAAAUACAAAAACGUUUCUACCAGACAGAUAAAGUGAUGCUCAUAUUGAGUAUCUUGCUCCAGAGCUUUAGUUUUUUGCUGUUCAUGCCAAAUACGAACGUUUGCCGGUAAAAUGCAACCUUUCACCGCACUAUGUGCUAUAGUCUAUAAUUACAAAUUGGUUUACUCGCAAACAGAUUUGGCGAGCCAACUCGCAAUAUAUUCCUCCAUAUAUUCGGGCAAUUACCUACAGUAUAUAACUCUGCAUAGCAUAUAGGUGAUCUUUCCAAAAUCGUUUUCUUUUUUGUAUUUGUGUCUUAUGACGUUUCUAUAAUACAUAAAAUAAAUUUCCCUUUCUUCAAACUUGAUUUAGUAGACUACUCUAGAUAUACUAAACGGUCUUAGAAACCUCUUACCGUUCGUCUUACUGGAUGUUAGAUAAGUUAUAUUUUAUUUUAUUUUAUUAAUAGG